AGGCAAUUUACUCUGCUAGACAUCAAAUGCUUUUUUGAGGCUAUAAGUGAUCAUUCAAAAAAUUAUCUCAGCUCAAGCACCUGUGGCCAAACAAAACCAAGCAGAGAGGAGUCUCUGUGUUGGAGGGGCAGGGAGAAAGUCUCAUUUAACACAGACACUGCGUUAUUCACACUUUUUGCUUAUUCUGUCUGUAGAGGUCGGGUCCCAACAGAGCUCUUGGAUCCUGGGGAACCCUGAUGAGAGAUGUCAUGGCAAACCCACUGACUGAGAAGUCACCCCACAGAGAGGAAGAGGAGUAAUAGUCCUCACAUGUAAAUGAAGUGAGGCAAGGCCUGAAAAAUGCUUCACAACAAGAGAAAAAUUGAGGCCAGGAACUAGGAGUGCCCAAAAGAGCACUUGGGGGAGCAAGUGCCUGUGGAAUGAGAUUUUUGUUGUAUACAAUGACUUGACUUUUUUUCGUUGAAAUGAGAGGACUUUCUCCCUCAUCCUCCUAUCUCCUCCCAAGGAAAAUAGCGCUUACGGUGUCAUUAGAUCUCCUUCUCUACGGAGACGGGCCCUUCUUUCCUGCAGUAGCUCUGAGACGCAAAUCAGCUGUUGCUGCUGUACCAACUCUGCGAUCGACUCAGUCCUAAGAAGGAGCCUGGCGUACACGAGCGCUUUGUGAAGCAGGCAUGGGGACGGAUGCUUGGCAAAGCCACUUGGGGGACAGGACUUUGCUUAUGAUAGGUAACUGGAUAAAGCUCUUGCUGCACAAACCAGAAGUGUCGUUGGAGCAGUGGUUUUACAACAUUCUUUACAUAGAAGAAUUAUAUUUGCUCUGCCUACACCAUUUGCUUAAAAAAAAUGGUUACAGGUGAAGCAGAAAGACUGGUAAUUGCAAUUUGUAUUCUCCCCAGUGUUUGCUAGUUGGAUUAAAAAGAGCAUGGUGGACAUGGCUCUCU
rnacentral:lncRNA from 1 species